rnacentral:rRNA from 1 species
ACUCAAAGGAAUUGACGGGGGCCCGCACAAGCGGUGGAGCAUGUGGUUUAAUUCGACGCUACGCGAAGAACCUUACCUGGGCUCGAACGACUGGUAGUACCUCUUUUGAAAGGGAGAGGGAUCCGCAAGGAAGCCAGCCGAGGUGCUGCAUGGUUGUCGUCAGCUCGUGUCGUGAGAUGUUGGGUUAAGUCCCGCAACGAGCGCAACCCCUAUCCUGUGUUGCUACCCGCAAGGGAGGACUCUCAGGAGACUGCCGCGGAUAACGUGGAGGAAGGUGGGGUCGACGUCAAAUCAUCAUGGCCUUUAUGUCCAGGGCCACACACGUGCUACAAUGGCGUAUACAGAGGGAUGCAAGACCGCAAGGUGGAGCAAAUCCCUAAAGUACGCCCCAGUUCAGAUUGUGGGCUGCAAUUCGCCCACAUGAAGGCGGAAUCGCUAGUAAUCGCAGAUCAGCAGGCUGCGGUGAAUACGUUCCCGGGCCUUGCACACACCGCCCGU